GCGGGACACACGGGUAAAGACAAGCCUUUCCAAAAGCUUUGAUGAGAAAGGGAGCAGGGAUAUGGGACGAUAGUUAGAAGGGGAGGAUGGGUCAAGAGAUUGUUUUUUCAGGAUAGGUAUUACAGUGGCAUGUUUAAGGUCAGCAGGAACAGUACCAGAAGAGAGAGAACAGUUAAAGAUGUGUGUUAGGGUAGGCACAAGACAAGGGGAGAGAGAUCUGAUGAGGUGAGAUGGGACAGGAUCGAGCGGGCAAGUGGUGGGGCGAGAGGAAUGGAGAAGCGCAGCCACCUCUUGUUCAGUAGCUGGGUAGAAAGUCUGGAGGGUAGGGAAAGCAAGAUUUACACGUGGUUGAGAAAGAGAACGGCAAGGAGGGGAGAAUUGUUUCCUUAGCUGUUCAAUCUUGUCGGUAAAGUAGCAUGCAAAGCUAUCAGCUGUAAGGUUAGUUUGG